ACGGAAGGCAGCAGUAGGGAAUAUUGCACAAUGGGGGAAACCCUGAUGCAGCAACGCCACGUGUGGGAAGAAGCAUUUCGGUGUGUAAACCACUGUCGUGAGGGAAUAAUGCUUGGUCUCGGCCAAAUUGAAUGUACCUCGAAAGGAAGCACCGGCAAACUUCGUGCCAGCAGCCGCGGUAAUACGAGGGGUGCAAGCGUUGUUCGGAAUCACUGGGCGUAAAGGGAGCGCAGGCGGAGAUGCAAGCAGUCUGUACAAUACCGGGGCCCAACCCCGGACCUGCAGACUGGACUGUUUCUCUUGGAUAGUUCAGGGGCAAGCGGAAUUCCUGGUGUAGCGGUGGAAUGCGUAGAGAUCAGGAAGAACACCGAUGGCGAAGGCAGCUUGCUGGGGACUUAUCGACGCUCAUGCUCGAAAGUGCGGGUAGCAAACAGGAUUAGAUACCCUGGUA
rnacentral:rRNA from 1 species